GACGAACGCUGGCGGCGUGCUUAACACAUGCAAGUCGAACGGAAAGGCCCUGCUUUUGUGGGGUGCUCGAGUGGCGAACGGGUGAGUAACACGUGAGUAACCUGCCCUUGACUUUGGGAUAACUUCAGGAAACUGGGGCUAAUACCUGAUAGGAGCUCCUGCUGCAUGGUGGGGGUUGGAAAGUUUCGGCGGUUGGGGAUGGACUCGCGGCUUAUCAGCUUGUUGGUGGGGUAGUGGCUUACCAAGGGUUUGACGGGUAGCCGGCCUGAGAGGGUGACCGGCCACAUUGGGACUGAGAUACGGCCCAGACUCCUACGGGAGGGAGCAGUGGGGAAUAUUGCAAAAUGGGCGGAAGCCUGAUGCAGAAACGACGCGUGCGGGAUGACGGCCUUCGGGUUGUAAACCGAGUUCGCCUGUGACGAAGAGUGAGUGACGGUAAUGGGUAAAGAAGCACCGGCUAACUACGUG
rnacentral:rRNA from 1 species